rnacentral:rRNA from 1 species
UACGUAGGGGGCAAGCGUUGUCCGGAUUUAUUGGGCGUAAAGAGCGUGUAGGCGGCUUGACAGGUCUGCUGUGAAAACUCGAGGCUCAACCUCGAGAUGUCGGCGGAAACCGUCUGGCUAGAGUCCGGAAGAGGAGAGUGGAAUUCCUGGUGUAGCGGUGAAAUGCGCAGAGAUGUGGAGGAACACCGAUGGCGAAGGCAGCCCCCUGGGUCAAGACUGACGCUCAUGCACGAAAGCGUGGGGAGCAAACAGG